rnacentral:lncRNA from 1 species
CAUCUGUGUGAAUGCGCACUCGUUGUUCACCUGAGAAGGUGGUAUAAUGAAGUGAAAGGAAGCAGAAGAGAGUGUUAUAGUUGGAAAGGUGGGAAAUCACCCCCUCCAUGCUGAAGGGAAGAUUUCAGGUUCCAAAUGACACGUUUCCCUCAGAAUGACUUUUGCUGUAGGUAUGUGAACCUGCCACCACCCUUUGAAUUUGGUGGAUUGAUUUAACGCUGUAUCUGAACCUGACUGAGGAGAUUCCUUCCUGGUUCAUGACCCCG